rnacentral:rRNA from 1 species
UAGGGAAUCUUCCACAAUGGGCGAAAGACCUGAUGGAGCAACGCCGCGUGUGUGAUGAAGGGUUUCGGCUCGUAAAACACUGUUGUAAGAGAAGAAUGACAUUGAGAGUAACUGUUCAAUGUGUGACGGUAUCUUACCAGAAAGGAACGGCUAAAUACGUGCCAG